rnacentral:rRNA from 1 species
GACAGAGGUGCCGAGCGUUAGGCGGAAUCACUGGGCUUAAAGCGUGUGUAGGCGGACUUCUAAGUACCUUGUGAAAUCCCCCGGCUUAACCUGGGAACUGCGUCUGAUACUGGAAGGCUUGAGUAUGGGAGAGGGAUGUAGAAUUCCAGGUGUAGCGGUGAAAUGCGUAGAUAUCUGGAGGAAUACCGGUGGCGAAGGCGGCAUCCUGGACCAUUACUGACGCUGAGGCGCGAAAGCUAGGGGAGCAAACGGG